AUGAGCCUAACUAUGUUGGAAGAUACAGAAUAACAGACACUAAAGCUCUGGAAGCAGCUAUGGAAGCAGCUGAAGGUACUUGUUUAAUGAUAGAGGCUAAACUAUCUCCUGGACCCCCAAUAUCCAGUAUGCGCUGUCAUGGGCAUAGUAGCCGUUUGCAUGAAGUUGGUUUAAGUGUCGCAAGUGGUAACUUUCUUGCAGCCAAGCUAUAGUAAUGUUGAUUAUUUUAUUUGUAGCGAAGAGGAGUUAUUGAAGGUGUUGAUUUUGGGGCAACAGGUGAAGUAAAGAAAGUGGAUGUUUCUCGUAUUCAUGAGAGGCUUGAUGGUGGAUGUAUAGUUGUAUUAAGCAACCUGGGCUAUUCCAGCUUUGGAGAAGUUCUGAAUUGCAAGUAUGGAUUAUUGA